rnacentral:lncRNA from 1 species
UCAUGAUGAUAGUAAGAACCCAACUAUAUGUGUAAUUACUUGUGUUGAAGUGCAUGGCCGAAGCCAAUGCCAAUAACAUUUUUAUUUCAUCAUAUGCAGUGUUUUAAAAACCGGACCGGUUAUCGAACCGGUGAGGGUAUUGGGUCACUGGUUCAUUGGUCGAACCACUGGGUCACUGGUCGAACCGCAUGAUAAACCGGAUUAAACCGGAAUAAACCGAUAGAAUAAACCGGUCUCUAUAAUAAAAUUAUAUAGCUAUUAAACCGGUCGAAUCAGAAUUUUUUUUAUAUCAUUAAGUCAUAUCAUAUAUGUUAGUGUUUUUAUUAAGUAAUUUAAUAUCAUUAUUACUUAUUUAAUUAAUGAAUUUUAU